CCUACGGGCGGCUGCAGUGAGGAAUAUUGGUCAAUGGACGAGAGUCUGAACCAGCAAAGUAGCGUGAAGGAUGACUGCCCUAUGGGUUGUAAACUUCUUUUAUAUGGGAAUAAAAUGUUCCACGUGUGGGAUUUUGUCUGUACCAUAUGAAUAAGGAUCGGCUAACUCCGUGCCAGCAGCCGCGGUAAUACGGAGGAUCCGAGCGUUAUCCGGAUUUAUUGGGUGUAAAGGGAGCGUAGGUGGAUUGUUAAGUCAGUUGUGAAAGUUUGCGGCUCAACCGUAAAAUUGCAGUUGAAACUGGCAGUCUUGAGUACAGUAGAGGUGGGCGGAAUUCGUGGUGUAGCGGUGAAAUGCUUAGAUAUCACGAAGAACUCCGAUUGCGAAGGCAGCUUACUGGACUGCAACUGACACUGAGGCUCGAAAGUGUGGGUAUCAAACAGGAUUAGAUACCCUUGUAGUC
rnacentral:rRNA from 1 species